GACGAACGCUGGCGGCGUGCCUAACACAUGCAAGUCGAACGGAAAGGCCCUGCUUUUGCGUGGUGCUCGAGUGGCGAACGGGUGAGUAACAUGUGAGUAACCUGCCCUUGACUUUGGGAUAACUUCAGGAAACUGCGGCUAAUACCGGAUAGGAGCUCCUGCUGCAGGGUGGGGGUUGGAAAGCUUCGGCCGUUGGGGAUGGACUGGCGGCUAAUCAGCUUGUUGGUGGGGUAGUUGCUUACCAAGGCUUUGACGGGUAGCCGGCCUGAGAGGGUGACCGGCGACAUUGGGACUAAGGGACGGCGCAGAGGGGUACGGGAGGCAGCAGUGGGGAGUAUUGCACAAUCGGCGGGAGCGUGAUGAAGAAGUGCCGCGUGCGGAAAGCCGGCCUUCGGGUUGGAAACCGCAUUAGGCUGAGACGAUGCGUGAGUGACGUUACUAGGUAAAGAAGCACCGGCUAACUACGUG
rnacentral:rRNA from 1 species